rnacentral:lncRNA from 1 species
CUGCCGGCUUCUGCCAUCCAAAUUUGUCAGUUGGUAUUUUGUAAAAUGCGGCUCCUAUUUCAGGUCCGAACCAAUUAUUGCGAGACUUCAGAUUGGUAGUGGUUUGCGCACUACAUAGAGAGAAAGAAGGUGGGUAGAACUAUUCUAAGUCUUACUUUACAAGCCUGAGAAUCCUUGAGAGAAUAUUUGGAAUAAAGGAUUUCGAUGUGAUUGAGUUAUGAGCGUUUAGAGUUUCCAAAUUUUGUCCGACCUUCCCAAUUGACUUGAUCCACUGUGCGCCGAUGAUCAAAUCAAAGUUCGUUCCGGAGGGAGCGAUAGGACUCGCCAAUCAACAUCCGACGAAAAAUAGCGUUGAUCUCCAAAAAUUUUUGCCACUAAUAUUGGAUAGACUGUCUCUGAAACUAUCUCUGAAAUAUAUCGUCUCGGAUGUGAAGAUGAUCGUUGGCAGAAGAUACUAACAGCCACCCUAUAAUCCUCAAAUUGUUGGUCCGAACUCUCUGUGGAUCCGCAUUGGCUGCGUCCCAUUCUUCGCACCUGUGUUUCAUUCACAUAAUUUUUCAUUUCAGUUCGGAGCGCGGACAAGGGGUCGGCGGGCGGGGCGAUGGGCGCCCCUUCGGGCCCCGACCCUAGCGCGGGCUCCUCGGCGCCCCUCCGAUCGUGCGGGUCACGCUCGCCUCCCUGGACGAGUGCAACGUCCUCCUACAGAACGGCUUCGACUUCUUCGGCGCCACCUUCUUCCCUACCGAACCGGCCAUCCCCACGAGUCUCGUCCGCACCGGCGCUAAAAAACUCACCGUCAACAACAGCCGUUUAUCGGAUCUGGUAGCUUCGAACGGGCAAAGAAUUCGAGAUGCUCUCCCUGUCUUCGACGCAGCUGGCUUUGCCAAGAUUCCUCCUCCAGCGACGAAAACAAUUGUGCCGCGAUUCUAAUUCCUACGGAUCAAAUGCAGAAGAUUCUAAGGUUGCCAUUUGCACCAUAACUUUACUCAGUUUCUAUGCGUUUCUUCCAAAAUAACACAAAGUUCCUCGUGAUAAUUCCUAGUUUAACUUUAAAAUGUUUCUGUUUUGUGAACAAACAAAAUCUAUUUGUUCAAUAAAUAAUUCUAUGAAAAUACCUAACCUAACUUUUCCUUCAUACAGGGUGAUCCACGGUUAAACGGCCGGACUGCAGGAGCCGAAACACUCCCAAAUCCCCUCUUAAAAUUAAGAUUUCGAUUUUUUUAGAUCAUUUAUGAAUUAAGGGCAUAAAAGUACAGGAGAGUACAAAUUUUCAUGAGAUUUUGUUUACAACCGUUGCCAAAAUUCAGGAAAAACUUUUUACUUUCCGAAAUUUUGGGGGGCCGUAGCUCCGACUGGGGGCACUUUUGGGAAAAAC